rnacentral:rRNA from 1 species
UGGGGAAUAUUGGACAAUGGGCGCAAGCCUGAUCCAGCCAUGCCGCGUGUGUGAAGAAGGCCUUUUGGUUGUAAAGCACUUUAAGCGAGGAGGCGGCUACUUGGAUUAAUACUCUAGGAUAGUGGACGUUACUCGCAGAAUAAGCACCGGCUAACUCUGUGCCAGCAGCCGCGGUAAUACAGAGGGUGCGAGCGUUAAUCGGAUUUACUGGGCGUAAAGCGUGCGUAGGCGGCUUUUUAAGUCGGAUGUGAAAUCCCUGAGCUUAACUUAGGAAUUGCAUUCGAUACUGGGAAGCUAGAGUAUGGGAGAGGAUGGUAGAAUUCCAGGUGUAGCGGUGAAAUGCGUAGAAAUCUGGAGGAAUACCGAUGGCGAAGGCAGCCAUCUGGCCUAAUAAUGACGCUGAGGUACGAAAGCAUGGGGAGCAAACAGG